rnacentral:rRNA from 1 species
CCUACGGGAGGCAGCAGUGAGGAAUAUUCGUCAAUGGACGAGAGUCUGAACCAGCCACGUAGCGUGAAGGAUGACUGCCCUAUGGGUUGUAAACUUCUUUUAUAAAGGAAUACAACGAGGCACGUGUGCCUAUUUGCAUUUACUUUAUGAAUAAGGAUCGGCUAACUCCGUGCCAGCAGCCGCGGUAAUACGGAGGAUCCGAGCGUUACCCGGAUUUAUUGGGUUUAAAGGGAGCGUAGAUGGGUUGUUAAGUCAGUUGUGAAAGUUUGCGGCUCAACCGGAAAAGUGCAAUUGAUACUGGCAGUCUUGAGUACAGAUGAGGUAGGCGGAAUUCGUGGUGUAGCGGUGAAAUGCUUAGAUAUCACGAAGAACCCCGAUUGCGAAGGCAGCUUACUAAUCUGUGACUGACAUUGAUGCUCGAAAGUGUGGGUAUCAAACAGGAUUAGAUACCCGGGUAGUC